rnacentral:rRNA from 1 species
CCUACGGGAGGCAGCAGUGAGGAAUAUUGGUCAAUGGGCUUACGCCUGAACCAGCCAAGUCGCGUGAGGGAAGACUGCCCUAUGGGUUGUAAACCUCUUUUGUCAGGGAGCAACGCCGGCUACGUGUAGCCGGACUGAGAGUACCUGAAGAAAAAGCAUCGGCUAACUCCGUGCCAGCAGCCGCGGUAAUACGGAGGAUGCGAGCGUUAUCCGGAUUUAUUGGGUUUAAAGGGAGCGUAGGUGGAUUGUUAAGUCAGUUGUGAAAGUUUGCGGCUCAACCGUAAAAUUGCAGUUGAAACUGGCAGUCUUGAGUACAGUAGAGGUGGGCGGAAUUCGUGGUGUAGCGGUGAAAUGCUUAGAUAUCACGAAGAACUCCGAUUGCGAAGGCAGCUCACUGGACUGCAACUGACACUGAGGCUCGAAAGCGUGGGUAUCGAACAGGAUUAGAUACCCGUGUAGUC